AUGUUGGAGGCGUCCCCGAGGCGUCCCCGGGAAGCAGGUAACCGGGCACGGGGCCGGACACAGCCCCGGCAGCGCCGCCCGGGGUGGGGAGGGGGUGGGGGGCGCGGGACGGGGGAGCCGGGACCCGGCCGGAGGGGAGGGAGGGGAGGAAGGGAAGGGGAGGGGGCUGCUGCAGCCAUGAUGGCCGGGGCCCCGUCCCGCUCCUCUUCCUCCUCCUCUUCCUCCUCCUUCUCCUCCUCGCUCCCCCGGCGCGGGGGCUCCGAGGCCGGGAAGGCGCCGCUGCGCCACGGCGGGGAUGGAGGAGGAGGGGGGCGGCGGAGGAGGAGGAGGCACCAACUCCGCCAUCCGCCCCACGGCCCUCGCCGCCGCCGCCCCUGGGGGGCCGGGGGCUCGCAGGUGGGCGCCCCAACGCUGGGGACCCCGCGGGAGCCCCCGCCGGGCCGCCGCCGCUGCGCCGAGGCCGGGCGGUGGGGCUGGGCUGGGCAGGGCUGGGCUGGGCUCGGCCCGGCGGGGGCUGCGUUUGGCCGCCGGGCCUGCCCGAAAGCCGGCUGCGAGCUGCCUCGGCCGCCCGGGGAUCCCCCCGGUGUGAAGGGCACGGAACCCUGCACGGAGCCCAGCCCGGCCCGGCCCGGCCGCCGCCUCGCCCCGUUCCCCUGGCUCUGCCCCCGCGCUCCGGACCCGGUCCCAAACUUGUUGGGCAGCGGGACCCGCGGCGCCGCGCUCCCAAAAUGGAUGGCAGCGCGGAGCGGCGGCGGCACCGGCUGCCCCGGCGGCCCCAGGCUCGGGGCUGCGGGGCCGGGGAGCCCCGCGGCUGUCAGGCAGGCCGAGGCCGGGCAGGCGGUGCCGGCCGUGCUGCCAUCGAGGUCUCCGGGUGGAAAAAGUUGGUGCUGCCAGCAGCCGGGCCUGGACGCGGCGGCCGUGCCCUCCUGGGGCACGAAUCCCACAGCCCCCGUGCUCAGGGCCCUCGAAGUCCUCAGUGCCCAAGCAGCAGCUCCCCAGCUGUGCAUCCACCCGCUGCUGGCUCACAGCAUGCCAAGCAUCUUGGGCCGCAUGCGGGGCGUCCCCCAUGCAAGUAUUUCGGUACUAAUAAAGUUUCUUAGACGGAAGAACGGACGGGGUGUCGCUGCUGUGGCUCUUCUCUUUGCCCCGCUCUCGGUGUUGAGCAGUACUGCCUGA
rnacentral:lncRNA from 1 species